rnacentral:tRNA from 1 species
GGCGGCGGGGGUCGUGGCACGGGCGGGGGGCCGGAUCGUCGGUCCGCAGGUUGCCCCGCUGGCGGUCUUUGCGGUGUUCGAGCCACCGCUGCCGCUG